AGCAAUCUGCAGAUGGGAUGCGGGACUGAACCAGAAUUCAGCAGCCGCCACCACUGGUCAUUGUUUUUAAAUGUCCACAACCUAUUUUUCCUGAUCUUAAACUGGCAUUCGGCGCUGCAGCCACUUUGUCAGUGAGCAAUGGUGGCUGCCAGGGCUUCUGGCGAAUGACGCCCCUGUAGUCGUGCCCAUGAAGAGGAGAAGAAGGACGUUACUUGUCAGAUGCCAGUUCUCAUGGGGCAGGACAGAGAAACAGGAGGUUCUGAGGCCAGGUGACGCCAGUCAAGGUGUAGAAACAUCUCAAAGGCACAAGGCCUCAACAUAAAAGAAUGGGAAAUAAAAAGUGAAAGGUUCUGAAGACUUUCUGAUUGCCCUUGUUUUUCCACUCCAUCUAUUGUGUUGGUCCUCCUUCAAUGUCUUCCAAUGAUGCAUUCGGGACAUUAGAGUAAAUGGGGCCACUAACAGAAUGUGCAGAUAUAGGUUGGCAUCCUAUUUUUCCAGGUUGCCCUCAUAUAUAUGACAAGAAGGGCACAUUGUGAUGCAAAUGGCUGCAAGUGCGAUCAUAGGGGGGUUCCUGGGCCCCAUUGCAAAAUCUGUUGUGGUAGCCCAGUACAGGAGUUGAACCCCUGUACCCUAGCUGCCCUAUCCGACAGUCUCCAUAUAGUGACCCCUGGACCCCCCUGCUCUUGUGUUCUACCUACUUCCUUAAAUGCCUAUGUUAUACCAUGUAAUGUACAUAAAAUGUGUUAUGCCUUUAAGACCUGUUGUCAUGUGAUUGUAACCCAGCGAGGUACCAGUGACCAUGUGACCUACAGGGUGACCUAUGGGACCCCUCCUAGUCUCCCCCAUAUAAGCCCUGGGUGGUGCUAGCUUACUUUCUUAGGCUGUUAGUCUUUGCUGAGUUGCAGUGAGGUCAAUUCCUAGUUGUGUGUCUGGAGUCCAGAGGAGGCCUAAAGUCAGUCAAGCAGCCAUAGAUUCUCAAGUCCAUUGCCCCACAGGUCAAGUCAAAGCCUGGUAAGCUACAGAAGGGGUGAAGUCAGUCAUAGUCUGUCAUAGUCAAGUCAGUCCAAGUCAUCCUGUCUCAAGUCAGCGUGGCCUGCAUCCAAAUUGUCCAAGUCCACUAUAAAUCCCAGCAAGCCCUCAGGUCUCUGAAGUCACUGGUCACCUCUAUGGGCCUAGCCAAGCUGUAUAGACUGUUACAUCUGUCUGACUCAGUAAAGCUGCC